GACGUAGGGCGCAAGCGUUGUCCGGAAUUAUUGGGCGUAAAGAGCUCGUAGGCGGUUUGUCGCGUCUGCUGUGAAAACUCGGGGCUUAACUCCGGGCCUGCAGUGGGUACGGGCAGACUAGAGUGCGGUAGGGGAGACUGGAAUUCCUGGAGUAGCGGUGAAAUGCGCAGAUAUCAGGAGGAACACCGGUGGCGAAGGCGGAUCUCUGGGCCUGUCCUGACGCUCAGGCGCGAAAGCUAGGGGAGCAAACAGG
rnacentral:rRNA from 1 species